GACGAACGCUGGCGGCGUGCUUAACACAUGCAAGUCGAACGGAAAGGCCCUGCUUUUGUGGGGUGCUCGAGUGGCGAACGGGUGAGUAACACGUGAGUAACCUGCCCUUGACUUUGGGAUAACUUCAGGAAACUGGGGCUAAUACCGGAUAGGAGCUCCUGCUGCAUGGUGGGGGUUGGAAAGUUUCGGCGGUUGGGGAUGGACUCGCGGCUUAUCAGCUUGUUGGUGGGGUAGUGGCUUACCAAGGCUUGGACGGGUAGCCGGCCUGAGAGGGUGACUGGCCACAUUGGGACUGAGAUACGGCCCAGACUGAUACGGGAGGCAGCAGUGGGGAAUAUUGCACAAUGGGCGGAGGCCUGAUGCAGGAACGCCGCGUGCGGGAUGACGGCCUUCGGGUUGUAAACCGAUUUCGCCUGUGACGAAGCGUGAGUGACGGAAAUGGGUAAAGAAGCACCGGCUAACUACGU
rnacentral:rRNA from 1 species